rnacentral:rRNA from 1 species
AGUGAACGCUGGCGGUAGGCCUAACACAUGCAAGUCGAACGGCAGCACAGUAAGAGCUUGCUCUUACGGGUGGCGAGUGGCGGACGGGUGAGGAAUAAAUCGGAAUCUACUUUUUCGUGGGGGAUAACGUAGGGAAACUUACGCUAAUACCGCAUACGACCUACGGGUGAAAGCAGGGGAUCUUCGGACCUUGCGCGAUUGAAUGAGUCGAUGUCGGAUUAGCUAGUUGGCGGGGUAAAGGCCCACCAAGGCGACGAUCCGUAGCUGGUCUGAGAGGAUGAUCAGCCACACUGGAACUGAGACACGGUCCAGACUCCUACGGGAGGCAGCAGUGGGGAAUAUUGGACAAUGGGCGCAAGCCUGAUCCAGCCAUACCGCGUGGGUGAAGAAGGCCUUCGGGUUGUAAAGCCCUUUUGUUGGGAAAGAAAAGCAGCAGGUUAAUACCCCGCUGUUCUGACGGUACCCAAAGAAUAAGCACCGGCUAACUUCGUG